rnacentral:rRNA from 1 species
UACGUAGGGCAGCAAGCGUUGUUCGGAGUUACUGGGCGUAAAGGGUGUGUAGGCGGUUCCUUAAGUUUGACUGUGAAAUCUCCCGGCUUAACCGGGAGGGUGCGGUGAAUACUGAGGGACUAGAGUACGGGAGAGGAAAGUGGAUUCCUGGUGUAAGCGGUGAAAUGCGUAGAUAUCAGGAGGAACACCGGUGGUGUAGACGGCUUCUGGACCGUAACUGACGACUGGA